rnacentral:rRNA from 1 species
UACGGGGGGGGCAAGCGUUGUUCGGAAUUACUGGGCGUAAAGGGCUCGUAGGCGGCCAACUAAGUCAGACGUGAAAUCCCUCGGCUUAACCGGGGAACUGCGUCUGAUACUGGAUGGCUUGAGUUCGGGAGAGGGAUGCGGAAUUCCAGGUGUAGCGGUGAAAUGCGUAGAUAUCUGGAAGAACACCCGUGGCGAAGGCGGCUCUCUGGAACGCAACUGACGCUGAGACGCGAAAGCGUGGGGAGCAAACAGG